GGAAUAUUGGACAAUGGGGGAAACCCUGAUCCAGCCAUGCCGCGUGUGUGAAGAAGGCCUUUUGGUUGUAAAGCACUUUAAGCGAGGAGGAGGCUACUUAGAUUAAUACUCUAGGAUAGUGGACGUUACUCGCAGAAUAAGCACCGGCUAACUCUGUGCCAGCAGCCGCGGUAAUACAGAGGGUGCGAGCGUUAAUCGGAUUUACUGGGCGUAAAGCGUGCGUAGGUGGUCUUUUAAGUCGGAUGUGAAAUCCCUGAGCUUAACUUAGGAAUUGCAUUCGAUACUGGGAGACUAGAGUAUGGGAGAGGAUGGUAGAAUUCCAGGUGUAGCGGUGAAAUGCGUAGAGAUCUGGAGGAAUACCGAUGGCGAAGGCAGCCAUCUGGCCUAAUACUGACACUGAGGCACGAAAGCAUGGGGAGCAAACAGGAUUAGAUACCCUGG
rnacentral:rRNA from 1 species